rnacentral:rRNA from 1 species
CUCCUACGGGAGGCAGCAGUCGAGAAUCAUUCACAAUGGGCGAAAGCCUGAUGGUGCGACGCCGCGUGGGGGAGGAAGGUCUUCGGAUUGUAAACCCCUGUCAUGCAGGAGCAAGACGCAAGUUUGAUAGUACUGCAAGAGGAAGAGACGGCAAACUCUGUGCCAGCAGCCGCGGUAAUA